CUUGGUCAUUUAGAGGAAGUAAAAGUCGUAACAAGGUUUCCGUAGGUGAACCUGCGGAAGGAUCACUAGAGAAUAAACGGUCGCAAGACCACUCUAACCUUUCACACACCCUGUGCACUGUUGCCUGUCCUGAUGGGAAUUGGAGCAAUCCGGUUCCCUGUUGGAUGGUGCUUUUUAUACCCUUAAAUGCAAGUCAAUGUAUGUAAAAACCAAUAAUCAAUAUAACUUUUAACAACGGAUCUCUAGGUUCUCGCAUCGAUGAAGAACGCAGCGAAUUGCGAUAAGUAAUGUGAAUUGCAGAAUUCAGUGAAUCAUCGAAUCUUUGAACGCAUCUUGCACCCUCUGGUAUUCCGGAGGGUACGCCUGUUUGAGUGUCAUGAAACUCUCACCCCUUCCCUUUCUUAAUUGAUCGGUUUGUUGGGCGUGGACGUGAGCGUUGCCGGUGUUAACCAUCGGCUCGCUUGAAAUACAUUAGCAGAAUCCUUUCUCAAUUGGUUCUACUCAACGUGAUAAGUACUCCGUUGAGGACAGCACCUUACCUUCGGGUUUGUGUGUUGGCCAAUCGAUUAAGUUGAUACGCUUCUAAUCAGUACAGACUUCGGGAGCUGACAAUUAUGACAAUCUGGCCUCAAAUCAGGUGGGACUACCCGCUGAACUUAAGCAUAUCAAUAAGCGGAGGAAAAGAAACUAACAAGGAUUCCCCUAGUAACGGCGAGUGAAGCGGGAUGAGCUCAAAUUUAAAAUCUGGCAGUCUACGAUUGUCCGAGUUGUAAAUUCGAGAAGCGUUUUCCGCGGCGGCCUGUGUACAAGUCUCUUGGAAUAGAGCGUCAUAGAGGGUGAGAGUCCCGUCCUUGACACAGAUUACCGUUGCUUUGUGAUACGCUCUCUAUGAGUCGAGUUGUUUGGGAAUGCAGCUCAAAUUGGGUGGUAAAUUCCAUCUAAAGCUAAAUACUGGCGAGAGACCGAUAGCGAACAAGUACCGUGAGGGAAAGAUGAAAAGCACUUUGGAAAGAGAGUCAAACAGUACGUGAAAUUGUUAAAAGGGAAACGCUUGAAGU
rnacentral:rRNA from 1 species